rnacentral:rRNA from 2 species
GAUGAACGCUAGCGGGAGGCCUAACACAUGCAAGCCGAGCGGUAUUGUUUCUUCGGAAAUGAGAGAGCGGCGUACGGGUGCGGAACACGUGUGCAACCUGCCUUUAUCUGGGGGAUAGCCUUUCGAAAGGAAGAUUAAUACUCCAUAAUAUAUUGAACGGCAUCGUUUAAUAUUGAAAGCUCCGGCGGAUAGAGAUGGGCACGCGCAAGAUUAGCUAGUUGGUGAGGUAACGGCUCACCAAGGCGAUGAUCUUUAGGGGGCCUGAGAGGGUGAUCCCCCACACUGGUACUGAGACACGGACCAGACUCCUACGGGAGGCAGCAGUGAGGAAUAUUGGUCAAUGGGUGCAAGCCUGAACCAGCCAUCCCGCGUGAAGGACGACUGCCCUAUGGGUUGUAAACUUCUUUUGUAUAGGGAUAAACCUACCCUCGUGAGGGUAGCUGAAGGUACUAUACGAAUAAGCACCGGCUAACUCCGUGCCAGCAGCCGCGGUAAUACGGAGGGUGCAAGCGUUAUCCGGAUUUAUUGGGUUUAAAGGGUCCGUAGGCGGACUUAUAAGUCAGUGGUGAAAGCCUGUCGCUUAACGAUAGAACUGCCAUUGAUACUGUAAGUCUUGAGUAUAUUUGAGGUAGCUGGAAUAAGUAGUGUAGCGGUGAAAUGCAUAGAUAUUACUUAGAACACCAAUUGCGAAGGCAGGUUACCAAGAUAUAACUGACGCUGAGGGACGAAAGCGUGGGGAGCGAACAGG